AGCUGCAGUAUAAGCUGAUAAUGGAGCUUCCAAAGUCGAGCAGUAAAGGUUGAGUGACACUUGUGUCCUCUCUCACAUCUUCUCAAACAAUACCAUUGGACAGAUGUAUGAUUGGUACACGUCUAACUUGCACCAAAAUUCCACGACAGGAUCCAGCCGGAGAAUCUGUAAGCACACAGACAGCAACGAGAUCCAGAGAGACAGAAAGAACUAUGUGGAACAGACUUUGGAGGAAACCUGCUCACCACACGCCACAGAGAUCAGCAGUCAUUUACAAUGUAGAGAAACCAGAUCAAAUUUCCUCACCACCGACAGAACAGACAAUCCUUCAGAAGCCAAAGCAGGGUUCAUCACUUCUCUACAGCCUCUGAUGAUCCAGUGUCGUCCAUCUCAGGCCCCUCGACCUCCCUCCCUACAGGAAUGUGAGCUCCUCAUUCGUCAGCUGUACAACGCUAACACCCUGCAGUCCCAGGAGAUCCAACGUGUGAAAGCCGCUCUCAAAGACAUUGUAUUCAACAAGAAAAUAACUGCAGAGAAUUACAUUUUGACCAAGGCAUAUCUUCAUGGUAAAAGGUAA
ensembl:lncRNA